rnacentral:rRNA from 1 species
GACGAACGCUGGCGGCGUGCUUAACACAUGCAAGUCGAACGAAGAGCGAUGGAAGCUUGCUUCUAUCAAUCUUAGUGGCGAACGGGUGAGUAACGCGUAAUCAACCUGCCCUUCAGAGGGGGACAACAGUUGGAAACGACUGCUAAUACCGCAUACGAUCUAAUCUCGGCAUCGAGGAUAGAUGAAAGGUGGCCUCUACAUGUAAGCUAUCACUGAAGGAGGGGAUUGCGUCUGAUUAGCUAGUUGGAGGGGUAACGGCCCACCAAGGCGAUGAUCAGUAGCCGGUCUGAGAGGAUGAACGGCCACAUUGGGACUGAGACACGGUCCAGACUCCUACGGGAGGCAGCAGUGGGGAAUCUUCCGCAAUGGACGAAAGUCUGACGGAGCAACGCCGCGUGAGUGAUGACGGCCUUCGGGUUGUAAAGCUCUGUUAAUCGGGACGAAAGGCCUUCUUGCGAAUAGUGAGAAGGAUUGACGGUACCGGAAUAGAAAGCCACGGCUAACUACGUG